rnacentral:rRNA from 1 species
CCUACGGGGGGCUGCAGUGGGGAAUAUUGGACAAUGGGCGCAAGCCUGAUCCAGCAAUGCCGCGUGUGUGAAGAAGGCCUGCGGGUUGUAAAGCACUUUAAGCAGGAAAGAAGGGGUGGGAGUUAAUACCUUUCAUCAUUGACGUUACCUGCAGAAUAAGCACCGGCUAACUCCGUGCCAGCAGCCGCGGUAAUACGGAGGGUGCUAGCGUUGAUCGGAAUUACUGGAGGUAGAGCGCGCGGUGGCGCGUGAAAGCCCCGGGCUUAACCUGGGAACUGCGGUGGAUACUGUCGGGCUAGAGUGUGGUAGAGGGGAGUGGAAUUUCCGGUGUAGCAGUGAAAUGCGUAGAGAUCGGAAGGAACACCAGUGGCGAAGGCGGCUCCCUGGACUAACACUGACGCUGAGGUGCGAAAGCGUGGGGAGCAAACAGGAUUAGAGACCCGGGUAGUC